GACGAGCGUGAGUCGAUGGCUGGUGCUGGCUAUCUCCCAGGCAUUGUUCUAAGCACUUUUUAUACAUCUUCACUCCUCACGACAGACCCGCACUGGAGGAGAGAGACAAGGCCAGAUAUUUGUUGCACAAAGUGAUAGGAGAAGCCCCCGGGGUAGUGCAAAUACAGGAGGGGCCCUUCCCCAAACUGGGGUGUUGGUGUGCGCAAGGGGGUGUUCUUGUCAGGAGAGAGUUCGCAAAGGAGGAGAUGACUUAGUCGGACAGUCGGAUUUCUCCAGGUAGACCUGGUGUGAAAAGAUGUUCCGGACAGGGUAAGAUGAGAUAAGAGAAUGAAAGUAUUUCUGUAAGGUUCCAUGAAUUAGGCUGGGGCAAGAUCACGCAGGUCCUGUGUUUAGCUUGUGUGUGUGUGUGUGUGUGUGUGUGUGUGUGUGUGUGUGUGUUUAAGCAAUGUUGGGGGAAUCGCUAAAGAGCUCUAAGAAUGGUGAAAAAGUCAAGCUUUUAAGAGAUCCAUGCGGCUACAGCGCAGAUACUGGUGGAGGACAGAUCGCGAUAGGAGAGGACAGGAUGAACACACUCUCUAGACUUGGGGUCUCAUGCUUCUCCCUACCGGCCUUUUCCAACCCCGGCCUCGCACCGCCCUGGGACGUCACCCCCGGGUAGCCGGGUCGGUUGCUCUCCGUCGCCCCCUGGCGGCCCAUGGGCGAACCUGCCCUGGUGCCUUCUCCGGCCGGCCUGUGCCGCAAUGAGUUGUUAAGGCAAAGCUGAGACUAGAACAUCUGACAAAUCCGGUUCUGUUGGACCAGCGCCUUGGUGGGAUCUAGGACCUAAUUUUUCCCAAAGUCGUAACACUUGGAAAUGUGACUCUAAUUUCUUGUCUUACUGUGUAAGAGCUGUAUUUUCUCACCUGCUGUCGUCAGAGAGGAGGCCAUAAAACCUUCAUCCCAGAGGGUCCUGCCCUGAGACCCAGAGGCCGGAAGAACUGGAACUGACAGGCCUUGUGGUCGCCCCACUCUGUCUGUCUCCCCUGUGUCACACCCUUGCACAAUCAGAUUCCUCUAUGUUGCCUGCACUUCAUCAAACCUCCGAUAAAGAUGGACAAUUCACCCUGGGUCUCCAUUCUGAACACUCCCAUUACAUUAAACUUUGGCUAAAUAAAUUUGUUAUGCUUUCUCCCCA
rnacentral:lncRNA from 1 species